GGGCCCAGAAAUAUAAAACGCAUAACAAAUGUGAAAUGACUUCUGUUCUUUAUGAGUCUGCCUUGACAUACGUUCUCAUCCACGCUCAAAGACGUAUAGUUCUUCUCGAAAAUCAUUUUUGCCACAAAAGCUCCGUUGCGUUAAUUUGAACGUAGCAACGAAUCACCACUAUGCAGAAUCAAGAGACGCAAAGGCCACCGGUGAUGUAAAGAGGUCGGCAGACGUGCAUGUUUCUCAGUCAACAGUAAUAUUUUAAGGGGAAUCAUAUUUCGGCGAAAGCACGAAAUCCUUUAUAGAAAUUUUCGGUCCUGCCUGCGAUGGUUAGCGUCAUAUACAGUGCAGAACCCAGCAAAGCUUCAGAGCCAUAGACUUUCCACAGUUCAUGAAGAUCAGAUCAUUCCAUGAAUGGAAUGCUCAUUGCUCACAACUGAACGAGGGAAUAAAGCAACCGAAUGAAGAGACCAUCGUCUAAGUUCCAAUGGGGUUUGCGCGGUUGUAUCGUACUUUUAAUCUAUAUAUAUCUUAUCCAUUGCACAGUUCGCUUUAAUAGAUUUAGAUGAUGAUCCCUGCUGGCGCUUCCCUGAGGAUUGUCCUCGACAAACUGGUAUCGGAGAGCCAUGUCAAAUAGUCCUUCCAAGGUGUUUCUGAUUUCUUUUUUCCCUUUUUUAUUUUGGCAAAUAUUUUGAAAUUCAGAAGUUCGAAGCACGGCUCCUCGGACAGUGUCACUGUUUAGAAUCGAAGAAUCAUCAGAACUCGCCAUGUACGCUGAACAUCACUUUUUCACUGGCAACAAUAUUCAUCAACCAAGCUAGAUGGGCGUGCCACACAGCCUGAACGGACUUACCUUUAAGAUUCUUGGACUAAACAUUCAGUGAGUAUUAUACAUCAAUUGUAGAAGAGCGACAACCCAAUCAGAAUCUUUAUAUGUGUGAGAACUCGUGGGACCAAUGUAUGGGGCCAAUUUCUCACUCACAAGUAUAUUGAUAGGAUGUUACUCAUUCAAGUGGAUGAGCCACACUCACCCAAUAUCUGCACAAAUGACAACUCAUUUUGUCUCAAAGUUUCAAUGGCUGCAGCUCCUACCAAAACCAUUCCUGUCCUAGAAUAAGCCAUAACUUUUCUGAAGGAUUGCCAAAAUCAUAUUGAUCUCUGCUCACCUCAACCUUUCCACAUAAUAAACUUGUGAUGUUAGGAUAGUUUUUCCAUUUCCUACCCUCUUAAGAGUUGAAGCAUGUUUCUCAAAAACAGCCAUGAAGAUAAAGUAGUGCUUUAUGAGGGCUGAAACUGGAUCAAUAUGUGCUAAUGCCAAGUUAACCUUGCGUUUCCUUUGCUCAAGAUAUAUUCCAUGAGCCAGCAAUAGAAAAGGUAUCCAGACUAUAUACAUUGCAAGUCUUCUUGGAUCAAGGUCAUCUCAAGAAGCCUAUUAGUUCUUCAUUUCUAGGAGUCACUCUCUAUAACCUCAACUAUCGAAAGCGUCCUUCGGAGCUUAACAUAGAGAGGGCUUGAGGGGUGUCAAUUGUCAUCACCAGAAUGAGGUUUCAACACUCUCUCCUAUGGUGGCACUCCCUUCGUCUGUCAUACCCCAUUGUAGAGUUGCAAUGCUACUUGGACUUGUUAUUUUAUCUAAUUGUUCGAAGAAGCAAUCAAGCUUCUCGUGACCAAGGUGGAGAAGAAGAUUCAAACUACCUUAGUGGCAGUCUGAGCAAACUCGAGGUGUAUGAAUGUGCAUUUGAGGAUUUAGGUCGAGAGUGAGAUCGAGGCAUUCAUAUAGAUUGACCCUAAUGGAUUUCUCUUGCUAGCAUCAACCGCUGAGCAGGUUUUGAAAAGGGUUGAAACUACGUAUGUUUGGUAAGGUUGAAUACUUCUUUGUACUCAUCAAUCUCUUUUAUGCCCACCCAAAUCGAAAUUUCAUUUUUUUUUUCUUUAACCACAUAUAAGGAAAGCAUAUUGAAGUAUCUUACAAAGGUUAACAUUUUUUAAAUUUGCAAAAAUUAGUUAGAUUUUUGGAGCAUUUGUGGGUAAAUAUAAAAGAAAGGCACAUGAAAAGAUGAAAGAUGAUGGAUGAGGGUUUGAGCAUGCAAAGUCUAAUAUUUGAUCUUAUUACAAGAGUUAUUGCGAGUUAAAUUCGGAAAAAUGGGAAAAGCUGAUGAAUGUAUCAUAUGGGGUAUAUUUCUACGCUACCUGAGUUGAGAUUUUUCUAUAUGUUGUUAUCUAUUAUAUAUAUAUAUAUAUAGGACUAUCAUAAUUGGAUAUGUUCCCUUUGGUCUUCCUAGGGCCUUUGUCAAAUUGUUCAUGACACAUUAUAUGAAGUCUUAUGGUGGGUUUAGAUUCAGAGUUAAAGUAACUUUGAUUUUAAUUUUGAUUUUGAUUGUGAAAAAAGACAAAUGAGAUGAGAGUAUAAAUUUGACUUGAGAAACGUAUAUUUUUGUCGUGUAGUGUGUUGAGUUAAAGUUAAAAUUAAAAUUAAAGUUUUUACAAUCCAAACAAGGCUUAAAUCCACUCUCGUGCUCAUUUUUAACUUUUUCUAUAUAAUAGAUUGUCAAACCUCCGCCAUUCCAUUUGUAUUCAAAUUGCUUCUUUGGUAUUCUGACAAAUUGCAAGAUUGUACUGAGACAUGAUCAAAGUAAUUGCAUAUCUCAAGAUUGAUGAGAUUUUAUUAAAUUAUCCAUGCAUAGCACGGGUGAACUCUACUCUAACAGCAAAGCUGCAUUUAUUUAUUUUUAUGGGAAAGUACAUGUAACCGCUUUUUUAUGGGGAAAAAGUUCAGGUAAAUCAUUUUAAAAUGAUUAUAACGUACAAUUAAAUCAAAUUACUUUAAUUUAUUGUAAAUCACUCUUGUAAUAUCAACUAGAUUACUUAUACUCUAAAUAAAUUAAUUACAUAUAAUUUAAGUGAUCUUAGUAGGGUAUUUUCCUUUUGCAAAACUUUAUAUAUUAAAUUUCCAUGAGCUUAUACGGAUCCGAACACAUUUCCACUUAAAAGAUCCAAGCCUCAUAUAAACUAAUGAUUAUUCUUUUAUUUUUUCACUAUAGAAUUUUAAUUCCCAACACCUGCCCUCAUGUGCAACGUGUAGUCAAUUUCUGUCUACACGUUGUCACGUGCCCUUAAACAUCCGCCUUCAAUAAUUGACCUCGAGCCAGGCCCAUUUUCCAUAUUCGGGCGAAGGGGACUAACAUGAGGCGCUCUUUUGACUGCACUCGAACAUAUUGGGCUUGGCGUGUUAUGGGUACAUACACGCGAGUGGACGCACAUACGUGUAACCUGGGCUCUGAUACCAUAUUAAAUUCUACCGAGUUUAUAUGCUUAACUUUCAACUCAAAAGUUCAAGCUCAUGUAAACCCAGUAUAAUUGAACAUGGCAUCAGAGCUCAGGUUAUGCAUAUGCGCGUCCAUUCGUGUGUAUGCACCCGUACCACGUCAUAUUAUGUUCCGAGAUAGCCAAGAGUGCGCCUCAUGUUAAUCAAGCCCGAGAGUGGCCCGGUCUAGUUCUGAGGUAGCUAAAAGUGUACCUCUGGUUAGGCCCGAGUGUGAAACUCGAGACUAGUUUGGUGUUUGUCCCCUUCACCUAAGCACAGAAGAUGAUAUCCAACUCGUGGUCAGUUAUUGAUGGCGGAUAUUUAAGGGCAAGUGGCACGUGCUGGACCGCACUCUGCCAUGUGAGGGGGGUGUUGUGAUAUAUUGUCCGACACAAAAAAAUAUGAUAAAGAAACCAUAAGCUUAUAUGAGAUUUGGGUACCACUACUUAUCAGCUCGAGCUUUUAAGUGGAUAUGGGCCUGAGCCCAUAUAAGCCUAAUAGAAAUUUAAGAUGAUAUCAGAGCUUAAGGUAAUGAUCAUGGGGACGCGUAUGCACAGGAGCCCACAUCACGCCAGUGAAGUCUGAGACCGGAAGUAGAAGCCCGGUUUGUAGUAGUUGAUCCCCCUCGCUCGAGUGUGGAAGAAGAAGCCCACCUCGAGUCAGUUAAGGUCCGAGUCCAUAAGAGAUGAUAGACCGGCUCGAGCUAAGUUGUUGAGAGCAGGUGGUUAAGGUUCACGUGGCCCAAGUAGACAAAUAAUGAGAAAUACCACACGGUGCCACGUGAAGGAAGGUGUUGGGAAUAUAAAAGUCAAUUGGGAAUAUAAAAGUCAAUUAGGAAAAGUUAAUCUCACAUCGAAAGCACAUGAGAAAAUAUAGUGGUUUAUAUGGGAUUGGGCCUCACAACUUAUCAGGUUAAACUUUUGGGUUGGAGAUAGACCAAAUCGUUUAUAGAUCCACGUGGAUAUUUUACAUUAUAAUAGGUUAAAUUAGAAAAACAUUCGGAAUAGAGUUUUGCGAAGUCUUUGUCCUAACUGUUCAUAAUGACUAGAAUGCAAUGUAAUUAAGAUCUAAGAUUUUAUUAAAUGUUAGUUUAUAAGAAUCAUUAUGCAUACUUUUCAUGGGCACUUAGCAUUUUUUGUUACUUAAUGAACAAAAUGGCCUUAAAGAGUAAUUAAUGUAUAAAUUUUCCGUGGCCAAGAAAAUCUAUAAAUUUUCCCAAAUUUAGUGGUACAAGCAUUUUACAAACUAUGGUUUCAGCUAAUGCCCUGAGGGAACACUGCAAUGUUUAACGUGGUAAUGGUGAUUUUAAAUUAAUAUAUCUUCUUAAGAAAAAUUCUUUAAUACUAAGUUACCAAAAAUAAAUAGUGUCAUUUUCUUUGUAAUAAAUAAAUAGUGUUGUUUAAUUUACACAUAACAUAUAUAUUCUUUAUCAACAUUUUUUUAGUUUUGUGUUCCAAGAAAUUUUUAUUUGUUAUUGUUAUAAUGAAUAUGCAUAUUUUCAUGUUUAACUUCCCUUUAACUAUUGCCCUUGCGGGAUUGUCUAUAUUGUGCAUGGACCCACUAAUUCCAGAGCCGGUAAUAACAUAAUCUAAUCGGUAUAUUCCUGAUAAGAUACCAUCUAAAAUGAUUGUCUAAACGCGUAUAUAAAGAGCGAAUGGAUAUGUAAAAAAAAGGCCAAUAUAAACCACUGCGUGAGACUUUUAGUAUCUUUAUUUACUUUUUCUUGCUUUAGUUACUAGUUAUUACACUAGGGCAAGAUACCCUCUGUGUUAUCACGGGUCACAAUAUUUACAUUUAUAAAUUUUCUAUAAAAUUAUGAGGAUAUUAUUAUCUAAUGUUCUUUUUUUACCAAAAUUUUUUAGCUGUGAGAAUAUUAAAUAUUAAAAAUAAUAUUAUUAUCAUUCUUUAGGUUAUAUGAAUUAAAAUAUUCAAUAAUAUUCAAUGUCACAUUUAUAUUUGCAAAUGACAUAAUUGAAGUACUGAACCAAUCAAAUGUAAUCAGUGAAUAAGUUUAAAAUAAAUUAAGAUGAUGCACGCAUCAAUACAUUGCAUUUCAAAAUCAUACGUGUUGAAUUCUCCAACUUAAUUUAGUUGUUUUAAUUACAUUAUUCUAGGUUGGCUCUUUAAUUGCAUCCUUUGCUUUUGGUGAUCAAUUCACUCUCGCCCAUAUAAUAUUUUCUUCUCUAACGUUAUUGCCUUUUCUAAUAUGAUAUUAAUUAGAUAUUUGAACAAAUAUUAUGAUAAAAGUUAAUUGGUUUAGUCCAAAAAUUUAAGUCUUCAUCAAUAAUUGUUGUAUGAUUUUGAUCUAUUCAUAUCAUAAGCUAUAUUGAUAUUAUUACAUAAUUACAAUGAAGUAUUCUCUCAUGUAUCCUUAGUCAAAAUAUUUGUAUACAUUUUCAUAGAGCAUAUCCUUUUUGAAAAAAAAAACAGAGAGGAUAAUAAUAAAAACAAAAGACCUUCAAGAGUUUUGGAAUAUUAUAUAAGAUAUAAAGUAAAAAUUUUACAAUAGUCUCCAACCGAAAGAAAAAAUUUACAAUAGUCAUAUCGGUAUUGUAUAUCUUGCAUUCUUGUAUCUUUAAAUAAAGGGAAAAGUAACCCGUUGUGAUUUGAGCUUGAGACCAAUUGAACCCAAUGAUUUUUUUUGGGACAAACAACAGCUUGUGAUUCAUUUCGCGAGACAUAAUGGACAUUAUCGUUAAUUUUUUCAUCAUUUUUUGUCAUCAAACUUUUCUUUUGCCAUUAUUACCUCAAACUUUCAGUUUUUCUCAAUUUGGUCCUAAAAUUCGUGGGAAAAAAGGGAAAGGGGCUAGGGCCAUUAGUCGGCGACCUCGACCCCAUCAUUGAGGUUACAUGCACCCACAAAGGAUGCCAGUGACCAUGGAUGUGGGGUCGGGACCCCAAAUUGGCGGCCCCUGCCCCUGAAUCAAUCUCGAGAUUCCGGUCGAUUCGGGGGUUAGGGUCAUCAACGAUGACCCCGACCCCACCCUCGAGAUUUUCGGCAUCCUCUAUGGGUGUCGGUAACCUCGGUGGUGGGGUCAGGUCGCCAACCGGUGGUCCAAGCCCUUCCCCCCUUUUUUCCUCAGAAUUUUUGGACUUAAUCGCAAAAAAGUUAAAAGUUUGAGGGUAAUAAUAAUAAUAAAAGUUUGAGGUCCAAAAGUAAUGAAAAAUUAAUGGUGAGGUCUAUUAUAUCUCACGAAAUGAACCACAAGGUGUUAUUUAUCCUUAAAAAACCAUAAGGUGCAAUUUGUCUUAAGCUCAAACCAUAAUUAAAGUUUUUGUACUUUUUCCCUUAAAUAAACUAAAUCAUUUAAGUUUGUUCAUAUAAAGCCCACAAUGUUAAUUCCAUUCUUGUGAAGAUAAUACGAUCUCAACAUGCUGCAUAAAAUGUUCGCAUCAAAACAUAUUGUAUUUAGUACUUUUAAUUUGUACUAAAAGAAUUGGGGUCUCUUGAAGAUAUGAAAUAAUUAUUUUGCAAUUUUAUAUAAGAAACAUAUGAUUCCACUCUGGUGGACCCAUCAACACAAAGAAAUUUUGGGUGUCCUCUCUGGCAGCUAAUAACUGCAGGUACUAUAGUGUGACUGCUCAGGAAUCACCCAUCCCCAAGACAGAUUAUAAAGGUCCCAGUUUGAAAAAUAGAUGUUAAGGAUAAGUGCCUCAACUCACUGACAGUUAUACUAUCACCUUAGAUAACCAAAGACCUAAAUAGUUUUCGGUGACCGAGAAAGAUUACGUUUACUUUGUAGGUUAACAUGGCUAGUGCAGUAGCGUGUCAAAUUUUUUUUUUUGUUAAGCAUGGGGUUUUAGCUUAAUAUGGAAAGCUCUUCAUUAAUUUUUCUAGGGAAAAUGUCAAAUUUGGUCCUCAACCUUUAGCUCUUUUUCUUAGUCCUAAACCUUUUCUUUGGUUGUAUUUCGUCUUCAAUCUUUUCCGCACGGUAUGAGUUUAGUCCUUCCGUCCAAAAUUUUAUUCAUUUUCCCUGACAUGUAUAUUCGUCCAAUGAGAGUGCGUCACGCGCGCGACAGAUCACUGCUACUCUUAAUCAGUUAUUAUAGAGCAAAUUCGAUUCCUUUUUUAAUCAGACUCGUAAAUCGGACUAAGAUAUUUUUUGUUCUUUUAGGAUUCUAGCCAUCUGUCGGUGCGUGAGACAAUGAAAGAGAAGCGAUGGCUAAAAUCCUAAAAGAACCAGAAAUAUCAUAGUCCGGUUUACGAAACUGAUUAAAAAAAGAAUCGGAUUUACUUUAUAAUAAUCGGUUUAUAGUAGUAGUGAUCUUUCGCGCACGUGGCGCACUCUCAUUUGACGAAUAUCAUAUCAGGGAAAAUUGAUGGAAUUUUGGACGGAAGGACUGAACUCAUACCGCGCAAAAAAGAUUGAGGACGAAAUCCAGUUAAAGAAAAGAUUUAGGACUAAGAUAGAAAAAGAGUUAAAGUUAGAAUAAAUUUGACUUUUCCCAUUUUUCUAUUAGGUAACUUAGUUGGUUGAGUGGAGUGUUAUUAUUAUUAUUUUUUUUUAUUUUUUUUUUGUCAAGAAUGAGUAUUGCGUCAUUUAAAAUACCAUAUGAGUGGAAACCGGAAAUUACUCCGAAAGAAGAUAUAGCUGCAAAUAAGACAAAGUAACAUAAGGGCUUGGGCUUGGGCUUAGGCCCCGGUUAGCUAACCAAAAAAAAAAAAAAAGGGUGACAUAAGGGCUUAAAUUAAAUGUUAUAAUAAAAGAAGUUUAUAGUAAAGUUUGAAAUGCGAAAAGAAAUUGAGAAAAUAAUAAGAGAAAAGGUGUUUAAUAGAGUUUGACCUCUCCUCAAAGAAAACGUUGGGUCCCUUCGAGUAUAAUACGUCAACACGUGAGCGUUAUAUUAACACAAAAGAGGAGGAAAUUGGUCGGGUCCACGAAGAUGAGACCCACCUUCCACCCCACCCCCACCCCCAUUUAUAAAUUACAAGUCGUACUGGAUCAAAUAGAACCCAAACUCCAAAGCUUCAUUAGCUAACUCUUUUCAUUCGUCUUGAGAGAAGGAAGCGGGCAUGUCGGGAGCAAAUUCGGAUAGUUUCACAACUGGUCAAAUUAGCCCGACCAACCGCGGCUAUGAGUUUUGCAAGAAGUUCGAAGGAAUUUUCAUCACACCACUCCAAAUGAUGACUACCCUAUUCGGGGCAAAGCAUUUGCUCACAAUGGAUAAAACAACGCUCAUCAUCUCGGUUCUGAUUUUCAUCAUAUUGUUCUGUGCGGACUUAUGGAUGAGGACGAUACAAGGGAAUCCGGACGCAGUGCACGUGCGCCUAGUGACAAAGUACCUUGUCCCCAUUUUGGGAUAUCUGUUUUUCGGGUUGAUAAUUUCGACAUUGUUCUUCGACUCCUCCUUGAGAUGGGUCGCUAUAAUCAGCACAUCUGCUCUGAUAAUGUCGGUUUUAUAUAUGAAUCACCCACAAAUCCCUAAGACCAUCGAAAAAGCAAUUUCUUCAGCAUGUAAGAUGCUGCGUGAGAAAUUCAUUGCCGUAUGGUCCAAUCUCGUGGCUAAGAACACCCGAUCCGAAAGGAUUGAUUCUUCCAUGAGCUGUGGACCGGAGAAUGGACCGAAUGCUACGUACGGCAAUAGUAAUGUUUGAGACCGUCAUAUGGUAGUCUUGUAUUUUCUUGAUGUAGUAUAUAUAUGUUUGUCUGUAGUUGGUUCAUUUCUACAUCUAUUCUGUUGUAAUUGUACGGGUGUAAUUUUUUUCUUUUUGAUGAAUGUAAGGAUUUAAUGUAACCUUAAAGUACACAAGAAAGCAUCAUGAUCAAUAAUUAGCAAAUAAUUCGCGAAUA